rnacentral:rRNA from 1 species
GACGUAGGGCGCGAGCGUUGUCCGGAUUUAUUGGGCGUAAAGAGCUCGUAGGCGGCUUGUCGCGUCGAAUGUGAAAUCUCGGGGCUCAACUCCGAGCUUGCAUUCGAUACGGGCAGGCUAGAGUUCGGUAGGGGAGACUGGAAUUCCUGGUGUAGCGGUGAAAUGCGCAGAUAUCAGGAAGAACACCUAUGGCGAAGGCAGCUCUCUGGGACGGUACUGACGCUGAGACGCGAAAGCGUGGGGAGCGAACAGG